ensembl:lncRNA
GGGGGGGGUUGGGUUACGUUGGGGUGUCCCGGCGAGAAUAGGACCGACCGGGACCAUGGACACUUCCUGGUCCUCCAGAGGCAGUCGACACACAAACUGGGGGGAGCUUCCCUUCACUGCUGUCUGCGAGGAGAGGAACUAGACCCUCAUAGACUAGACCCCCAUGGACUAGACCCUCAUGGAGAAAACCCCCAUGGAGUACAACUCCAAGAACUAGACCAAUUAUCUCUAGGGCCCCAUGAGAAGACCUCCAUGCAGGAAAACCUCCAGGAUCUCAGGUCCAAAACCUCUCACACAUAUGCACACACGAGCAUAUAUACACACAGAAAUGCACGCAGACAUAAACACAAACACACACAUGUACAUGUAUACACACAUGUAAACAAACAGAUGUAUAAAUAAGGUCCACCAUAAAUGAUACAUAUAUAUAUAUAUAUAUAUAUGUAUAUACAAAUUUUAGAGUCCACACGUACAUGCAGUAUAUGAAGUGUUUUGACUGCCGCAGCAACAGAAGUCCUGAGGGAGCGAGCGAUCGAGCAGCGCUUAGACUGGAGAGAACGAGAAGAAAGCAUCCACAGAGAAACUCCUCAAGUCAUGUAGCAGUUGUUUCGUGUUCCUCGGUGUCUGAAGGACAUCCUCUCAGGACAUCUCAGCAGGUCACUUCCUGGGGGGGGUCAAGGUUGACCUCCUACCUGGAAAUUACAAAAGGACAUCUAUCACCACGGACAUAUUUAACGGACUAGAGUUGUAUCUGUUUGUUUUAGAACUAGCCUCAGUGAAAUGAACGUAGCAUUUAGUAGAGAAAAUACAGAGUCUAAGUCUGUCUGCUUCUGUCCAAACUAAGAGAACAACAAGUAGUGUGAUUAUUUUAUACUUCCUGUGUAUGUGCGUCUGUGUGUGCAUGCAUGUGCGUGUGUACGUGCACGUUUGUGUGUGCACGUGCGUGCAUGUGUGUGUGUGUGCGUGUGGACGAAUGUGAGCGAGUGUGAGCCGCCUCCUAAAGCACAAGCUGUUUUGUAAGGCACGGGUCGGAGCAGCACUUUGUAAAUACGUUGUGCAUCGUCAGGUAGUUCCGCUGCGUCGCGCCCAACCUUUUCUACGAAGACCCUCCUUAAGGCUGUCCCCAGGGUUAGGGUCAGCGGGGGACAAACUGUAUGUAGCAAAACGAUGAAGAUGUAUAGUUUAUUAAGUCGAUAAAUAGGACGUGAUAUGUAUACAAGAUAAGAUUAUUCGAUGUACAGUACAGUAGCAGAUACAUGCACUCUUUGAAGUCCACACUCACCUGUGUCCUGGUGUCACACCUCCUUCCAUCUCUCUGGGUGCUGCCUGCUCCGUCGAUACCUCCUGCCUGCUCUUCUGUCAAUAAAGGUAUAAAUUCAAGCUGGAGGCCAAUUCUGGGUCGAUCACAGACAGCCGGGCUCAGUUCCCCAAGAUACAGAGACAAUAUAUACAAGAUCCAAGACGUAGGGUUAUAUAGGUAAACAUUCAAAAUAGUUUCUGAACACAUGGCUUUGUAUGUAUUGGCCUUCUGAAUGCUUUCUGUGUGCGUGGCAGUAAAUGUGGGGGUCACGCACCACGUCCCCACCAGGUGGAGGUGGUGUGUGUAUGAAGUCCCCACAAGGUGGGUGUGUGUGUGAGGUCCCAACAAGGUGUGUGUGUGUAUGAAGUCCCCACAAGGUGGUUGUGUGUGUGUGUGAAGUCCCCACUAGGUGGGGGUGUGUAUGUGAAGUCCCCACAAGGUGGGGGUGUGUGUGCGAGGUCCCCACAAGGUGGGGGCGUGUGUGUGAAAUCCCCACAAGGUGGGGGUGUGUGUGCGAGGUCCCCACAAGGUGGGGGCGUGUGUGUGAAGUCCCCACAAGGUGGGGGCGUGUGUGUGAAAUCCCCACAAGGUGGGGGUGUGUGUGUGAGGUCCCCACAUGAUGGGGGUGUGUCUGUGAGGUCCCCACAUGAUUGAGGUGGGGUUGGGGCGGUGUGGGGGCAGUCUGGACGGAGAGGAUGUCUGCAGAGAGCUGGUGUCUCAGGGUGUGUGUGGUCGGGACGGUGGCUUGGGUUCAAGGUCAGUACCGGGUCCAAAAGGUGCGGUGUGUUCUUCUGACCGUCCUGACGUCUCCCUGGCUGCUCACGGUUCCGUUUCCUCCAAUGCUCCUUCUACUGUUACACCAGACACAGAAGGGGGGGUGGGGGUUGUGGUUGUGUGUGCGCCUGUUUUUAUGUCUGCAUCGCUGAAUACAUGUACAUGUGAGUAUGUGUUAACACGUGUGUGUGUGUGUGUGUGUGCGUGUCUAUAUAUAAGUGUGUGUGCGCUGUAUGUAAGUGUGUGUGUGUGCGUGUGUUUGUGUGUGCAUGUAUGCGUGUAUCGGUGUGUUUGCGUGCAUCAGUGUGCGUUUGGAUCUAUGUGUGUGUGUUUGUGUUUGUGUGAGAGACCGCUCCGUUUGUCCCUCAGAACCCCAGGCGACGGUAUAUCUCUUUGUCGCCAUAGUGACGGUAGCCGUGCCGCUCAGGCUGGGCUCUUGACAGACCCCCCCCCCCCACCUCUCACUCUCUCCUCCCGGGGAUCGAACCCCAACCUCCAUCAGGGCUGCUAAACGAGCACAGAUUGAACUCCCUGCUCCAGACUCACAUCAGACAGACAAUCUGAUGCUCCGUAUCGAUCAGGAUGAGUCAGCUCAGUACUUCACAUUCCAGAAGUAUUAUUAUUUUUCAUAUAAUCAUCAAAACAUAUUUCACAGUUGACAGGCUUUGCACAGGUUCCCUUCCUCGAGGCUCAAAGAACGCGAGGCUUGAGAUCCCUGCGUUUGACCGUGGGUAAUAUCCAUCCGGGAACAUUGAAACCAUCUUCUGCAAACACGCAUGUCAGAACGUUUUUAUCCACUGCUCGAUCCUGGCUCGAAGACGAGGCACACUUCCACUCUGUUAAUAACGUGAUAGUGUUUCGUGAUAACUUCGCUCAUCUGUACAAACGUUAAUGAAAGCAGAGCAGGGGUCAGAUAACGAGCAUCUAAGCCUCGGAGAGAGUCUUUCCUUGAAGCUUAGCCAGAAAGUUAGCAUCACGUAUCGUUUUAGCCUUGGAAAUAGACUGUUCCAGAGUCCUGGCCAAAGAGUUUGUAUCUGCUAGCAUUUUAGCUCUGAAGUUAGCAUCUUAAUAGCGUUUUAAGCCCCAGAGUUAGCAUUUUAAUAGCGUUUUUAGCCCCAGAGUUAGCAUCUUAAUAGUGUUAUUAGCCCCAGAGUUAGCAUUUGAAUAGCGUUUUUAGCCCCAGAGUUAGCAUCUUAAUAGUGUUAUUAGCCCCAGAGUUAGCAUUUUAAUAGUGUUAUUAGCCCCAGAGUUAGCAUCUUAAUAGUGUUAUUAUCCCCAGAGUUAGCAUCUUGAUAGCGUUUCCAGCCCCAGAGUUAGCAUCUUAAUAGCGUUUCUAGCCCCAGAGUUAGCCUCUCCUUUACUCCGGCCUGUCCAUGGUCCAACAAACUGGUUUUGCAUCGAUGGUUAAGGCCAUCCUCAUGUAUAUACUGUCUGUCCCCAGGCAAAAAGCAGAGAAAUUGUUUAAUAUGUGUUUAAUAAAUACUAUUUGUGUACCUGAGCCUUCAUCUCCUGGUGAUUCUUUGCAGUGUGAAUAACGGAGCUGCGAUUGAGAUCCAAAACAGAGCUAGAGUCUGAAGGUCAUCUCCUGAUCCAACGCAAUCUCCACACGUUCCUCCAACCAAACACACGUCUUCAUUAAGC